GUUUAGGUGUUGUAAUGGGCUGCCUUGUUUGGAUGCAUUUUAGUGGUUAGCAAUAGAGAAUAUUCUCGCGGUAUAUUUCUUGAAAUGGCCCCGUGUGGACUUAAAGUGCUGCGGAUCACACCAUUAUUCAUACGUCUCUCCCCUAUGGCUAUGAAGAAGCCCUUUCUUUUUUUUCCUUUUUUUUUUCCCCCAUUCCUGAUGUUUGUUUACUCAUCCAAGUCUCUAGCUUGAGGAUCAUUUGUGGCUUCUUCUUCGAGCAUAUUAUGAGUUGGCGGAUCUCGGUCAGUGACUGGGUGCUCAGGUGAUCAUACUUGAAAAGGUCAACGAGCUCUUGAGUUGAGAGUCUUUUGAGAGCGAAGUGAUGCUCGAGAAUUCCAUUCAUGCUUGCUGCUCUGCUUAGGCUUAAAUGUUCUAAGCAUGUUCUUUCCAACCAAUCAAUACUCAAUUUGAUUGCCUGCGGUUUUGGAGACUGCGGAAGAUGAUCAGAUGACGCUCGAGGCGCCAGACUAAUCCGCACUGAUGACCCGAGUCAAAUUCAUACCAGGUUGAAUCGCCGGCUCGUUGACUAGUGAUUUAACCGGGGGUUUGUUGCUUAACUGGUUUAAUUAGCAACCCAGCCCAGUUCUAUGGCCAGUUCGAUCGCCGGGCCGGCCCAACCUAUGGCUGAUAGGUAGCUUAAUGCCUUUAAGGACCAGGCAAGCUACUUUUUCCCCCCGGUUUGGUCAGUCAAUUAAAUGUCUUUCCCAAUUUGGCUUCUUAUAGUUCACAAAAUUCAUAACAAUCUGCAGGUACUAUGGAUUUCAGAACAAGCCAUCAGCCGGCUAAUAACAUCAGCAAGAUCCAGGGAAAUAUGGCACCUGGUUUCAAAACAAAUUUUCAGCCUACUUUUUCCAUUCUCAGCUACAAAAAAAAAAUUUCUACCUCUUCAGUCCUCUCAUGACUGACAAGAUGUCCCCCAUGAAGUUCUACCAUUCGGGCAGAAGGAUACAAUUUCUCAGCAAUCCUCUUUGCAUGGCAUAAUUGAGCAAUGACAUCAUGUCUGAACCAUCAAAAGACUACUCAGUUUUGCUAAGUAGAGAUCUUUCAGGUAAAAUUGCAACUAACAGGUAAAGUUCUUGUGCCGUGAACAGUAAUAAUACCUUCCAUGGAUAACUGAUACUAGGAAUCCAGCUGCACGGAUUGCUUCAAACUCUGCUAGCAUCAGCUUAUGCGUCCAGCAUGCAUUUAUUUGACCUUCAAAUCCAUAAUUGGUCUGCAUGCCAGUAGAUGAUAUACCUUUAACAUAUUCCUGCAAAAUGGCCUCAAAUAAGUCUGCCAUUCUAACAGCUUUUACUCAUAUACUGUAAUUUCACCUUUGUUAAGUAAUGGCCACAUAUUAUGGCAUCAGUAACUCGAGAAAA